CCAUUGCACUUACCAGAGUCCAUCCAGGCUAUGUGCAAUCAGCUGCAUUACAAUGAGUUAUACAGGAGCUCCUGACAGGGAGGAUCGUGUCAGAAGACAAAAUUUGAUCGGUGGAGGUCCAUCUAAGUGCUGUGGGGAAGUGGUGCAUGUUAAAUGAAGCUGAAACACAACCAGGUCACAAGGACGGCAAGAACAAGGGGGCUGAUGAUGCGGCAAGAGAGGACAGAAGGGUAUUGCUCCUGGACAUUUCUUAAAAGCCUCAUUCCAGUCUCACUCAGUUUGUCAUUCUCUUCAACAAAUGCAUCCUCUAUACGGCCUUACUCUCCCUGUCUGUCUAGCACCAAUAUGAAAGAAUAUAUUGUGACAUGUUUUGCUGCUAGUGUUACUGUAUCAUCAAUGUCAAAACCAAACACAGUCAGUGUAACUGACCUAAUAAAAAUGCUUUUUGACUAUU